GACGGAAGGUGCAAGCGUUGCUCGGAAUCACUGGGCGUAAAGGGUGCGUAGGCGGCCGUGCAAGUCUGGCGUGAAAGCCCCGGGCUCAGCCCGGGAAGUGCGCUCGAAACUGCGCGGCUCGAGUGCCGGAGGGGAGAGUGGAAUUCCUGGUGUAGCGGUGAAAUGCGUAGAUAUCGGGAGGAACACCUGUGGCGAAAGCGGCGCACUGGACCACAACUGACGCUGAGGCGCGAAAGCUAGGGGAGCAAACAGG
rnacentral:rRNA from 1 species